AUGAACCUAAACGACGUAAGCCCUACCUCUCUUACAUCCUUACGGCUCCGAAGCCGAUCCAGUGUGAAUAAGUACAUAUCAAAACAG
rfam:Bacillus enclensis strain SGD-1123 genomic scaffold Scaffold3, whole genome shotgun sequence.